UACAGAGGGUGCGAGCGUUGUUCGGAAUUAUUGGGCGUAAAGGGCGCGUAGGCGGCGCCAUAAGUCACUUGUGAAAACUCUGGGCUCAACUCAGAGCCUGCAAGCGAAACUGUGGUGCUGGAGUAUGGGAGAGGGUCGUGGAAUUCCAGGUGUAGUGGUGAAAUACGUAGAUAUCUGGAGGAACACCGGUGGCGAAGGCGGCGACCUGGUCCAAUACUGACACUCAUACACGAAAGCGUGGGGAUCAAACAGG
rnacentral:rRNA from 1 species